AAUCCCAAAUCUCAUCAGCUCCUAGCUGUUGGCACCACGACUCACUAAAAGCAGGCAGAAUGGCCUUUCACUCUACUCUUCUUGUUUUCUUAGCUGGACUGGUAUUUCUCUCUGAAGCUGCACCACUGGUCUCCCAUGGCUCUGUUGAUUCCAAAUGCCCUCUCAUGGUGAAAGUGCUGGAUGCAGUCAGAGGAAGUCCUGCAGCUAAUGUAGCUGUUAAAGUCUUUAAAAA